rnacentral:rRNA from 1 species
UACGAAGGGUGCAAACGUUGCUCGGAAUUAUUGGGCGUAAAGCGCACGUAGGCGGCGCUCUAAGUCGGAUGUGAAAGCCUUUGGCUCAACCAAAGAAGUGCAUUCGAAGCUGGAGCGCUUGAGUACUUAAGAGGAUCGCGGAAUUCCCGGUGUAGAGGUGAAAUUCGUAGAUAUCGGGAGGAACACCAGUGGCGAAGGCGGCGAUCUGGGAAGAUACUGACGCUGAGGUGCGAAAGCGUGGGGAGCAAACAGG